GUAAUUAAUGGGAAUCAAAGGAGCCUGAACAGUGCCUGCUCAGAGCAAGCAUGAAUCAGAGGAGCCAAACUCAGCAGGUCUAGCUGGAGACCACCACAGUGACACRGUUGCACCGCUGAACAAAAACCAGUGUAUCCUGAAGGAAAAGGACUCCAGAUUUACCAAUGACAAAAUGARAAGAAAUCUAAGCCUGGAGGACUAGUGACAAGAUAAUCCUUCACCUCUCAGUCAACUGGUUCGUAUCUGAUAGAUGCCUAGAGCAGCAGUCAUCGUCAGUGGGAAGCUGCUUGAUGCCUUAAGUGAAUUGCAUUGACUUUUUCCUUUCAAACAGAUGAUUGCUUUCAUUGGAGACUGUGCUAGUAGCUGAUAAUUGGGAAACCCUCAGGGGCUGUCACAGCUGCAG